UACGGCCAUAUCACGUUGAAACUACCCGUUCCCGUAUAAUAGCAGAAGUUAAACAACGUCGAGUUUGGUCAGUACCUAAAUGGGUCACCGCUUUGGAUGUGCGGGUGGUG